rfam:Candidatus Aminicenantes bacterium RBG_16_63_16 RBG_16_scaffold_13573, whole genome shotgun sequence.
GCGCCUGGAGCGUUGGACUCCGGAUCCAAAGGUCGGAGGUUCGAAUCCUCUCAGGCACG